rnacentral:antisense_RNA from 1 species
GAACCAGUGCAACUGCAUAGCGAACACGAGCUGGA